CGCGCGAUUCGAAACCAAAAACGAAACCCUCGCCGCCGGGGCCAUCCCAAUCCUCGCGGCGAGCGGCGGCGGCGGCGGCGGCGGCGGAGGGCAACCGAUUGUGGCCGGUCUAUCCUCGUCGGCUCGCCAUUCCUUCUCGCCGCGCCAGGUUCGAUCUGACCAAUUCCCCAAGAAUCGUUCGACCUGAAUCGAUCGACGCCGCGUGUUCCUGCCAUUUCGGCGUGCUUGAUUCCCUCAAAAUGGUUUUGGUCUAGGGAUCGUGCUUAGCUAUUGGUGGCGGUGCUCCUCUAGCGGCGGGUUCUCGACGGCAGAAUAGUGCGUUGUGAGGGAGCCUCGGUUUAGUUGGUUCUGGGGAUGGAGGACGGCGCCGCGGGGGGCGAUGUGUCCGCCGACCGUGUCAUCGCUGAGUUGCUCGACAUGGGGUUCGAGUUCGACGAGAUCAGCCGAGCGAUCGGUGCAGUCGGCACGCGCUGCGCCGAUGUGCUGGAGUUUAUGCUGGGUGGUUCAGGCAAUGGGAAAAUGAAAAAGGCGAGUAGGGAAACACGAAGCCGUAGUUGUGUCUCAUCUAAUGCAGAAGCACGCCCGAGUGAUGAUGGGAACAAAUUGGUUAAUCCUAGGAAAAGAUUAAAGCAAUCGAGCAUUACCGAUCAUCUUGCAUCGAAUACCGGCUGCAGAAGGGGAUCUUGUGGUGAGAAAGCUAGCACGUCAUAUCCCUGUUUAGCGGCUUCCGAUGAUCCUAGAGCGCCAGUGGCAGUCAGUGCUGAUGUGUGUUCUGCAUUGAAGCCUGAAUCUCAAUUUUUGCUUGCUAAUUCAAGAAGUGAGUCUGACCUCGGACACAAAAUUAGUGCUGUUCUGCGGAAACACUUUGGAUUUUCCUGUGUGAAAGGAUUCCAAAAGGAAGCUUUGGAUGCUUGGUUUGCUCACAAGGAUUCUCUUGUUCUAGCAGCAACAGGCUCAGGAAAAUCCCUUUGUUUUCAGAUCCCGGCUCUUCUGACUGCAAAGGUUGUGGUAGUGAUUUCACCAUUGAUUAGUCUAAUGCACGAUCAAUGUCUAAAACUUGCAAAGCAUGGGAUAUCUGCAUGCUUUCUUGGUUCAGGGCAACCUGAUAGCCGUGUUGAGGGCAAAGCAAUGUCUGGCAUGUAUAAGAUUAUUUAUGUUUGCCCUGAGACAGUAUUAAGGCUUAUGGAACCAUUGAAGAAACUUGCAGAAAAGCCAGGGAUUGCACUUUUUGCUAUCGAUGAGGUUCACUGUGUUUCUAAAUGGGGUCAUGAUUUUCGACCGGACUAUAGGAGAUUAUCUGUGCUUCGAGAAAAUUUCAGUGCAAGCAAAUUGAAGUUCUUGGAGCAUGAUAUUCCUUUGAUGGCAUUGACUGCUACUGCUACCAUCCCCGUAAGAGCAGACAUUAUCAAGUCGCUGAAAAUGUCAGAAGAUACAGUGGUCGUCUUGACAUCUUUUUUCCGGCCUAAUCUCAGAUUCAGAGUAAAGCACAGUAGGACCUCAGUCUCAGCUUACAAAAAGGACUUCAGAGAACUUGUAGUAACAUAUAAUGAUUCAAGGAAUUUUAGGGGGAAGGGACAGAAAGCUCUUAGUGAGAUCAACCCUGAUUCUGAAAGCAGUUCAUAUGAGUCUCCGGAUGAUGCUAUGUCAGAUGAUGAAGAUGCAAAUGUUGAUUCCAUGAGCCAUGAAGAUAAUAGUUUUGGAAAAACUAAAGUCGGCAUGCCCUUGAUAAAUGAAAAUGCUGAAAAUGAGUUGGAUGUAUAUCCAGGAGUAGAUGAUUUUGAUGUUACAUGCGGAGAGUUCCUUGAGUGCUCGUGGCCUGAGAACUCUGCAUCUUCUUCUCAAUGCAACAAAACUGGUUCCAGUUCCUCAGAAAUUGCUGAUCAAGGUCCUACCAUUAUUUACGUACCCACCAGGAAACAAACUGUGGAGUUAGCAAACUAUUUGUGCAAAACUGGUCUCAAAGCUGCAGCAUAUAAUGCGAAGAUGCCUAAAUCACAUUUGAGACAGGUGCAUCAACAGUUUCAUUGCAAUGCCUUGGAGGUUGUGGUGGCUACCAUAGCAUUUGGCAUGGGAAUUGACAAAUCAAAUGUCAGGAGAAUUAUUCACUAUGGUUUCCCACAGAGUUUGGAAGCAUAUUAUCAAGAAGCUGGCCGUGCUGGUAGAGAUGGGAAGUUGGCGGAUUGCACUCUAUAUUGUAACCUUUUGAGAGCACCGACACUCCUUCCUAAUAAAAGAAGCAAGGAACAGACAAAAGUAGCAUACAGAAUGCUACGUGAUUGCUUUCAUUAUGCUUUGAACACUUCAAUUUGUAGAGCCAAAAUAUUAGUAAAGUACUUCGGGGAGGAAUUUGGUCCUGAUGGAUGCCGCAUGUGUGACAUCUGUAUUAAUGGCCCUCCUCAAAUGCAUGAUUUCAAGGAAGACGCAGUUAUGUUUAUGAGUGUGCUCCAAGCUCAAAACCAUAUCUUAAUAAAUCCAGGGACAAGCAACGGAAGAUAUGGGUUGCAGCAAUAUACCCCGUUAUAUAUCUGGAAGGCAAAGGUUUGGGGAGGUUCCGAAUUUCAGAGGGGUGGUCAGUUAUAUAAGGGAAAAGUUUCCUAGAUUUGCCACAACUGACAAGGUAUGGUGGGAAGGCCUUGCUCGCAUAUUAGAAGGCAGGGGAUACAUACAAGAAGCUGCUGAAAUUCCUCGUGUUUUAAUCCAGUAUCCUGAGGUGACAGAGGCCGGACUGAACUUUUUGAGUAUGCAAUCAGAAGAGGAAGGUUUAUAUGAAUACCUUAAUGCUGCUAUGCUAUUGGUAAUGAAUGACCCAAAACCUAUUUCUACAUCUUCCGAGUGGGGCAGGGGUUGGGCAGAUCCUGCGAUACGCCGCCAGCGUCUAGCAGGCAAGAAAAUGGGGAGAAGAAAAGGAAAGAGGCAUUCUCGGAGCCACUCUACAGGUUUCACCACUGCAAGACAGAGAUUAGCUGAAAUACUCUCAAAACGCAGAAGAUAAUACAGAAACUAUUGAGAUGCUGGGAUAGCGGGAUGAAAAUUAUUCAUCUAAGCCUGUUACUACUUGUUUGGUUUUAGCUUGAUUUACACAGCUUCUGUGGUUAUUUGCUGCAAUUUCCUUUGUGGCGUAUGAAUUUUUUUUCUCAAGGGAACAAUAUGAAGUAAAAAAAUGAUGGGGAUUAUUGUAUAGCACUGUUUUGGCUACCCAUCUGAACAUUGACACUCCAUCUGAACAAGAAUUUCCUGAUGUGAUUUUAAGGAGGUACAGUUCCGUUCCCAGAUAUUAUUGCCCAAGGCUGAUUCAUCUGAACAGUGAUGGCAUCACAUCAGUUUUCACAUCAAAUCCCCGUAGGGUUUUGUCAACAAUGUUCACUCUCACUUGUGAUCUUUUCAACCAACAGGUGGAUCUGUGUGGAUCCUGGAGUGCCAAACUGGAACUUGUUUUUCCCAAUGGAUGGUCCAGUUAACUCCAAGUGUUAGGAAGAUAUAUCUGACAAGGUGAUUGUGUUGUAUACUGUUUUCAUACUGUUCACUUGCCUGAAAUGAAAAAUUGUUUGGCGCAGAGCUGCUAAA